rnacentral:rRNA from 1 species
GCUAGUUGGUGAGGUAACGGCCCACCAAGGCGAUGAUGCGUAGCCGGCCUGAGAGGGUAAACGGCCACAUUGGGACUGAGACACGGCCCAAACUCCUACGGGAGGCAGCAGUAGGGAAUUUUCGUCAAUGGGGGAAACCCUGAACGAGCAAUGCCGCGUGAGUGAAGAAGGUCUUCGGAUCGUAAAGCUCUGUUGUAAGUGAAGAACGGCUCAUAGAGGAAAUGCUAUGGGAGUGACGGUAGCUUACCAGAAAGCCACGGCUAACUACGUGCCAGCAGCCGCGGUAAUACGUAGGUGGCAAGCGUUAUCCGGAAUCAUUGGGCGUAAAGGGUGCGUAGUUGGCGUACUAAGUCUGUAGUAAAAGGCAAUGGCUCAACCAUUGUAAGCUAUGGAAACUGGUAUGCUGGAGUGCAGAAGAGGGCGA